GACAGAUGACGAACUUAUUGAUGGGCAUACAAAGAUUGUGUGUCGACUGUCAUGGUCUGAUUU
rnacentral:snoRNA from 1 species